AUAAACGCAUGUACAUCUAAUCCAAAGGGUACAAAUGAAAGCAGUUGCUAAAAGUGACUAUGGAAUCAAUUAUUCAGUUGUUUUAAUCCCAAAUCAAUGGCCGUGUUACCAGAUCUCUCCAUCGGUCCAGUGUAUAAUGUUACACCAGUCCUCAAUAAACAGCCUUGUCAUGUAGGAUCAGACUGAGUAAUGGAUUCCUGAUCAAACGGCUCUCUUUCUGAAGGUCAGGGAUUUUGAAUUAACUGGUUGGAGACCCUGUUGUCCCAAAUUUUAGCCAAUAUGUGCUGUCCUCUCCCAUCUGGAGAGAGCUAUAUUGCAGACUGGUUCAGGGCUUGAGAUGAUGGUUCUAGGAGAGAGCUAUGCUGACUAUAUCCGGUUCAGGGCUUGAGAUGAUGUUUCUAGGAGAGAGCUAUGCUGACUCCGAGUGACUCCAGAUUGUGGCUUGAGAUAAUGGUUCUAGGAUAGAGCCAUGCAGACUCCAGACCAUGGCUAUAAUUGAGACUGUGUAAACCCUUGAUGACUCUGUAUUUUCUGAGACCAUGUAAACCCUUAAUGACUGUUUUUUUCUGUCCUCUCCCAUCUGGAGAGAGCUAUAUUGCAGACUCCGGUUCAGGGCUUGAGAUGAUGGUUCUAGGAGAGAGCUAUGCUGACUCGGAGUGACUUCAGAUUGUGUAAACCCUUGAUGACUCUGUAUUUUCUGAGACCAUGUAAACCCUUGAUGACUGUUUUUUCUGAGGACUCAAACCACACACCAUUCUAUGUCUAUUGUAAUUUCCUUAUUCAUAUACAGAGCAACAAGUAGACUACUUCUUGACAAGUUUUUAAUGCAAAUGGAGCAGUGCAUCGAUAGGCAAUGUGAUGAUGCCCAAUGUGUUCCAUCAUUUUCAAGCAUAAUGUGUAUGUCGGACUAUGGAGUUAUUGGCAUUGGUUGUCUAAUCCUGAGCUCAAUGAACUAGUUCACACCAUACCUGAUGAUUUCUAAUCUAUCAGAAUUGUUCAUUUGCCUCAAGUUACCAUACUGGUUUAAACCUGGCUACCAGAAAAUCAUGAAUGAAAUUUAUGCACAUGAUUUGUAGUACAUGUGUAUCCACAAUAAUUAUAGUACUUUUUAGUACCUGUAAUACAUUAAUUUUUAUUCUCGUUUAACUCUUGCUUGACAUGAGGGGAAAAGGGGUCACGGCGGUGGUGAUCAAAACAGGAUGUAGCUUCUUGAGCCUGACUUAUUCAAUGUACUAUAAUACAUUACAAUCAAAAUCAGGUUUCAUUAUGAUGAUACGAAACAUACUAUGGUAGUUAAAUUUAUGUUAAAAUUGUUUUUGUUUUGUUUAUUGUGUAGGACAUGUAUAUAUCUAGAUCAUAAUAAUUUUUUGGUACAUUUUGGAUAACGGUGAAGAAGGGAAUUGUGACAUUGAACCAAUAUGGCUAGCACUUGAAGGCUGCAUCACGGUGUUUUAUAAAUACAUAUAAUCAUUCAGUUUCAUCAUGUUGUACUGAGUGUGUGACUAUGAUCAGAAGAGAGAGAGAGAGAGAGAGAGAGAGAGAGAGAGAGAGAGAGAGAGAGAUGUAUAACAACACAUUGACAUCCAGACUAAAUAAACAUCAAUCAUCAAAUAGUUUAUUUUGAUUGCUGUUAACGUCAAUGUAACCUUAGUAAAAAAAGAAUAUCUAGAGCUUGUUACUUUUUAUGGUCAUUAUAAGCAGAAACGUGUGCUUGCAAAGAUGUAUACUGUAUCAAUAAAAGUUUGAAUAGAUAAAAGAAACCUUCUAGGUUAUGUCAAUAAAGAGGUUAUCAAUAUU
rnacentral:sRNA from 1 species